rnacentral:lncRNA from 1 species
AUGUCCUCAUCAGGAUCAAGAACUGAUGUUUCAUAUACUAAUCCCUUCAUGCCUCUCAUGCCACCGUACAUCGUAGAGGAGGCACUGGCAUGCCAAGCGGCAAGAACAAGACAAGAUGCAUUCUUGGCUCCAAAGACCCGGGCGGCUGCAGUGAGUAGAGCCAUGACUGGAGAACUCAGGCUUCAGGCAAGAAAGGCAGGAUGGGGAGAGUCGUGGCAGGAGGAAGCCAACGCCGCUGCACCGAGGGCCGUGCAGAGGGGCGGACAAGGUUGAAAGUCUGUGUGGAUUUCUUUGGGUUCAUUUUAUUUGGUAUUGUUUGGGCUUCCUGAAUCUGGUUGUCUAUUUCCUUCUCAAACUUGGGGAGUUUUCAGUGAUUAUUUAAUAGAAUAAUUUUUUUAUCCAUUUUUUCACUCUCUCUUCUAAUUCUGGGCCUUCCAUAAUAUGCAUAUUGGCUCCUUGAUGGUAAACUAUAACCCCUUUAAAUUUUCUGCAUUCUUUUUCAUUCCUUUUGCUGUCUGAUUGGAUACUUUCAGAUGAACUUUGAAUUUGUUGUUCUUUUUCUGUGCUACUCUGCUAUUGAACCUCUUUACCAAAUUUUCAGUUCUGUUACUUUAUUCUUUAGCUUCAUGAUUUCUAUUUGGUACUUUUUAUUUUUUUAAAAAAAUCCCUUUGUUAAAAUUUUCACUUUUCUCAUGUAUUGUUUUUCUGAGCUUGUUAAGCAAUUUUGUGAUGGUUAUUUUGAAUUUUUUGUCAAGUAUUUCAUAUCUCCAUUUCACUAUGACCAUUUUCUGGAGUUUUAUCUAAUUCCUUUGUUUGAAUUGUGUUUCCCAGUUACUUCAUUUUCGUUGACUCUAUAUGAGUAUCUACACAUUAGAAAAACCUGCCACUUCUCCUAGUCUUCAUCAUGCACUGGCUAUGUGCAGGACCUUCACAAAUCAACCAGGCCAGAGCUUGUGUGGGCUUCUCAAAUAUUAGUCCAACAUGCCAUCUUAGUUCUUUUUUUUAAGAUUUUAUUUAUUUAUUCAUGAGAGAGAGAGAGAGAGAGAGAGAGAGAAGCAGAGACACAGGCAGAGGGAGAAACAGGCUCCAUGCAGAGAGCCCGACAUGGGACUUGAUCCCGGGUCUCCAGGAUCAUGCCCUGGGCUGAAUGUGGCACUAAACUGCUGAGCCACCCAGGCUGCCCUGCUAUUUUAGUUCUUAAUGGCCUCCAGACUUCUAGAUUGUACCUCUGAUGGAUUCUGUGAGUGUUCUACAUUGGGCUAUAGCAGGAGGCUUCGAAGGGUUCUUGUAUUUUAGUGUAAAAUACCUUCUUUGUUCUCAGUGGAUCCCAAGUAUCUAUUCUGGAUCCUGUUAACGUUCUAAGACAGAAGCCAUCAUUGGGCAGCCCCCAGAAACUUGAAUAUUCAAUAUGUGGUCCAAUUCUUUUUCUUCCCAGAGAGAAUCUGGGAACUAUUUUUUUUUCUUUCCCCAUCUGCUUGCUCUGUACUAAACCAGGACUCCUCUUGUGCCAAGUGUCUGUUCCCUAGUUCAAACUGCCAUCUUUGUUCUCUAUAGCCCACAAGAAUCUAGCAUAUACAGGGUCCCAUCGGAGUUCUCAAAGAGGGAAGAUAAAAACCAGUCCCUUGAGAAUCAUCUAGAAAAGCUGAGAUAUUGGAUAUACAAUCUAAUUCUUUCUCUUCUCAGGGAGAAGCUGGAAACUGAGGGUUUCCUCCUGAUUAUGUGGCAUUAUGCUGGGUGUAGGGAUUAUGGAGAGAAAGUGUCUUAAUUUUCCUACCAGUUUUGAUGUGGAUGGUUUCCCAUUUCUCUUGGAUGCAGGAGGCUCUCAACUAGUUUCUGUAUUUCUAAAAGGGAAUUGAUUUAUGUACUGCUAUUGAAUUGAUAUGUCCAUGAAGGAAAGAAGAGUCCAGAGCUUCCUAUUCUGCCAUCUUUUUGAAAUCAUUGUCAAUGUACCUCAGUUUCAUUGGUCUUGAUGUAUACGAAUCACUAGAGAAGAUUUAU